rnacentral:rRNA from 1 species
AGAGUUUGAUCCUGGCUCAGGAUGAACGCUAGCGGGAGGCUUAACACAUGCAAGUCGAGGGGCAACAUUAGGUAGCAAUACUAGAUGGCGACCGGCGCACGGGUGAGUAACGCGUAUGCAACUGCCCUGUACCGGAGGAUAACCCGGAGAAUUCGGACUAAUACUCCAUGACGAUAUUGAGGCAUCUUCAGAUAUUUAAAGUUACGGUGGUACGGGAUGGGCAUGCGUAACAUAGCUAGUUGGGAGGGUAACGGCCUACCAAGGCAUCGAUGUUUAGGGGACCUGAGAGGGUGAACCCCCACACUGGUACUGAGACACGGACCAGACUCCUACGGGAGGCAGCAGUGAGGAAUAUUGGUCAAUGGGCGAAAGCCUGAACCAGCCAUCCCGCGUGAAGGAAGAAGGCGCUAUGCGUUGUAAACUUUUUUUCCAGGGGAAGAAAACCUCUGAUGUAUCGGAGCUUGCCGGUACCCUGGGAAUAAGCAUCGGCUAACUCCGUGCCAGCAGCCGCGGUAAUACGGAGGAUGCGAGCGUUAUCCGGAUUUAUUGGGUUUAAAGGGUGCGUAGGCGGGACAAUAAGUCAGUGGUGAAACCCUGCAGCUUAACUGUAGACUUGCCGUUGAUACUGUUGUUCUUGAGUAUGGUCAAGGCAGGCGGAAUGUGUAAUGUAGCGGUGAAAUGCUUAGAUAUUACACAGAACACCGAUUGCGAAGGCAGCUUGCUGGGCCGUUACUGACGCUGAUGCACGAAAGCGUGGGGAUCGAACAGGAUUAGAUACCCUGGUAGUC